UUAACAUAGUCAAUAAUAUUCAAUAGUUCCAGGGGGAAGAUGCAACAAAGAAACAGGAUCCGGAUGUCAAUGUGUUUCUCAGCUUGUAUUGGAGGGAAAUCAUGAUCCAUACCCGAGAUCGAUGGCCGAUCUCGAUACGCGGCGCGGCUAUUUCGAAAUAGUUUCUCAAAAUAUCUAUAUGUAAAAAUAAACCACAUAACGAUUAAUGAACAAGACAGGCAUAAAUAAAUAAAAUGAGAUUCAUGAA